CCUCGUUUGAGCAGGGUGGGUAAGGGUGAAAUGGUGAGGUAAGAGCUCACCGCCCCGGCGGAGACGCCGGGGGCAGGGCAAACCCCAUCCGGAGCAAGGCCUAGCAGGGGACAUCGGCCGCACCCGUAUCCGGGAGCGGUCGGGGUAAUAGGGUGCCCGGACCUUCCCCGGGUUGGCCGCUCGACCCCGAUGGCAACGUCGGGGCUAGAUAGAUGGCCGCCGCGCCGUUUGCCCGUGGGAAGAAGCCAUUGGCGUAAACCGCAGGCACCUGGCGUACAGAACUCGGCUUACAGGCUGUCUUGCGCC
rnacentral:RNase_P_RNA from 1 species